AUUGAACGCUGGCGGCAGGCCUAACACAUGCAAGUCGAGCGGCAGCGCGGGUACUUGUACCUGGUGGCGAGCGGCGGACGGGUGAGUAAUGCCUAGGAAUCUGCCUGGUAGUGGGGGAUAACGCUCGGAAACGGACGCUAAUACCGCAUACGUCUACGGGAGAAAGCAGGGGACUUCGGGCCUUGCGCUAUCAGAUGAGCCUAGGUCGGAUUAGCUAGUUGGUGAGGUAAUGGCUCACCAAGGCGACGAUCCGUAACUGGUCUGAGAGGAUGAUCAGUCACACUGGAACUGAGACACGGUCCAGACUCUACGGGAGGCAGCAGUGGGGAAUAUUGGACAAUGGGCGAAAGCCUGAUCCAGCCAUGCCGCGUGUGUGAAGAAGGUCUUCGGAUUGUAAAGCACUUUAAGUUGGGAGGAAGGGCAGUUACCUAAUACGUAUCUGUUUUGACGUUACCGACAGAAUAAGCACCGGCUAACUCUGUGC
rnacentral:rRNA from 1 species